AACUCCCUACAAUGAAUAUGAUCAUUAUGUACACCUGAAUUGUACCAAUAAAAAUUUAAACUAACAAACCAAACCAAACAAAACAAAACCAGCAUUGAGAAAGAUUUUGAAAAGGAGGAGGAAGAGGAGGAAGAGGAAGAAGGAGAAGAGGAGGAGGAGGAGGAAGAGGAGGCUCAGAAACCUGCAAAUCGCAGGUUUAGGGCUGAAAACUUGUAACUUUACUCCAGAAUGAUUUUGUUCUUUCUGCUGCUUAAUGGCAUUUGGAAGGCAGCACUGCCAGCCUGCCCUGGUCUGCCAGAACAUGCAGAAGGGGCUUUGAUGCCAGGUGAGCUGUGUUCUAAGAACUGUGCAGGGCGGUGAAAUCAUUAGCACAGCGCAUCCGCUGGUGUUAAGACCCAGGUGACUUCUCAUUCUGUGAUGACUGACAAUAUGGUCACAAUGGGGAAGGAGAGAGCUUCAAAGAAAGUCAAUCAGGAGGUGGCUGAAGAGUAGGGACUGCGGUGAGCAUGUGAGUGUGUGUGUGUGUACAUGUGUGUGUGUGCACACGGCAUGCGCACUAUCAGGCCCUUCAUUAUAGCUGCUUCUGCAAAUGGAAAUGCAGCCGAGUCCUUUGGGAAUAAUAAUUAACGGCAGCAGGCAGAGCCUGAAAUAUUAGCAUGGUGAGCAUGAAGACAGUGCCAGGCAGGAGGGGCUCUGUCCCUCUACCCUCUACCUUCCUCAGUCCCUUCCAGAAGAUGCUCACCCUGCUCAUCAUUGUCCUGGAACACCAGGUGGCUGAAACUAGUCCUGUCGUUCCAUUGCCUGGACACUGGUCCAGCCUAAGCAGAGCAACAAGAGGAGAGGGACAGCCCAGCCUAUGAAUACGGGGACAAGAUGUCAGUGCCAUCCAGGGCUCCCUGGAACACUGAGCUAUUUAUCACACAGAGCCCCAUCUGUUCAGAGCGGAGGAAUGCUCUUUGCCUGGGGAGGAAAGGAAGAAUGAGUAGCAAUAUUUCCUAGCUUUUUCAUUAGAGAGUUUGAAAAAUAGCCUUUCAAAAGAAAGACACCUUUAUAUUCCAAUUGAAUUACGAACUUAAAAGGAUGAGGGGGCUGAAGUUUAUCAUCUGCAUUCGUCAAGACCAAGAUGCAGUUGGCUCCAGACUUUUCUGGGUAGAAUUCUGCUCUGUUAAUGAAUUUCCUGAAUCUGGCAAAUUUUGCUGGAAUACAAAAGGAUUUGGCUUAUGUGUGGUGAGCAGAAUUCAAAGGGCAAGAGGAUGGAAGAUGGUGAUAAAAGAAGAGACUAUUUGAAGAAAAAUUCCUCAUGGUUAUUUCAGUCCACAGCAAGGAACAGUUCUGGACAUGAUUUCAAAACCAACUAAAUCUGCCCUUUAUUCUCAGUUGUCUGAAAAUUCAUGAUGAUGGAGAUUGCAGGGUUUCUUCAUUAUUAUGCUGGGCUUUGUAGUCCCUUUAAAUCUGGAAAUCCAUUCAUUGUUUCACGAUUCCUUUCCUUUCCUUUCCCCUUUCCCCCUUUAGGUGAUGCCUAUUAGAUUUAUUGAGAAAAUGUUCCUUCCUUCCUCUUUCCUGUAUGUAGUGCUGGGAUUGAACCCACGGCAUCUUGUAAACUUAUUAAAUGGUCUUCCACUGAGUUUCAUCCCCAGCCCUUUUAAAAUUUUAUUUUAAGACAGGAUUUCACUAAGUUGCCCAGGUUGGUUUUGAAUUUGGGAUCUUUCUGCCUCAGCUUCCUGAGUAGUAGGUUAUAAGUAUGCGCCACCACACCCAGCUGUCAUUUGAAUUUUAAAAUUUUGUUAGCUUGUGUGAUUUUUUUAAUUUCAAGGAACACUUUCUUGAAUUUUCUCCUUUUUUUUGGGCAUUCUGUUCUUAAUUUCUCUUAUUUCUCCAAGGAUAUUAAUUCUAGUUUUGUUUUUACAAGUUUUCUUAUGUUCCUUCCAUUGUUUUGUUUCCUCCGGUCAUUUUGUUGUUUUGGAUUCCAUUGUGCUCAAAUCAUUAGCCCUUACCAGGGACAGAUGCAGAUCUUUCCUCUGUCCUGUUUGAAGCCCUACCCUUUCCCCUCCUGCCUGUGCCUGUCUCUUGGUGGGGCCACCAUCUCGCAGCCACUCAGCUGCAGUGUGUGAAGCACUCUCUGAAACACAUUUGAACUUUUCUUUCUCAGUCUUCUACUUAUUAGGAACUCGGGUGAGGCCUAGGCAUGGGUUAAGGAGAAGCAGGAAUGCGGCAAGAGUGGGCAGUUCCAAAGUUGUGCAAACUGCAGUCACUUCGUGACCUGCUCAAGGUCAAGCUUGUCCCUCAGCUCUGAAUCUGCUUUUGCCACAGAAACCAAACAAGAGCCAACUUUGAUAUAACAGUGCUGCUGCUGUUACCGUGGUGACGCGGGUGUAGACAGGUUCCUAGGUUCUUGUGCACAGUGAACAAAGAGUUGGAUUCGGCACUUGAUGGUUAGAAAACAGAAGCGAGGUUUCAUCAGGUGCCACGGCACUCUGAGCCAGCAGGUUCGCAGCAGCGGAAAGGAAAAUGUCCCCAGCUUGAACUCUGAAGGCCUUGAGAGUUUAGAACUUGUGCAGGGGUCUAGGACGCCCCUCAUUGAGCCUUCCAGAGCAUGAUCGACAAUGUGAUUGACAGAGUGCUGAGUCCUGUCCACUGCUGUCCACUGCACAUGUCCUUUGCCAUAAUUCACUCUGUUACAGCUGGAUCUAUGAGCAGCAGUUCCUAUGAAUGAACCUUCAGUGAGCUCCAUGUGAAGAAAGGUUACGAUAGCUCAUGCUGGAAAAUCUGGCAUGCAUUCCCAUCUCGGUUUGGAUUUUAGAAUUUUCUAGGACAGGCUCAGGGUUUUAUAUACCUCUGCCUGUGGGUGGUAGGCCUGAGGAUAAAGGUCAGGGAGUUAGUCCUGGGUGUCAUUCAGGUUCUGGUGAGUGGAGGAGUGUGGUCCUGAAGCCCUAAAUGUAUCGUCUAUAAUACCGCUAGCAAGGGCAGAUUCUGUGUUUCCUUGAAAAUAGGAGUUAGCUGCAAAAUUAUCAGCAUUGAAAACUGGAGAUUAAAAAUGUUAGGCCCUGUCAUCCUCGCUUUAUCUGUCAUCCCUAUUCUCUCUUUUAUUUUAUUUUAUUUUGUCUUUUUGAAACAAGGUCCCAUUAUGCAUUAUGAGCUGGCCUUGAACUCACUUUGUAGCCAGCGCUGGUUUUGAAUUCACAGUGAUCCUCCUGCCUCAGACUCCUGAGUGCUGCGAUUUACAGAUGUGUGACACCACGCCCGGCUCAUUCCUGUUCUCUUGCUCAAGGACUCUUCCAUUAGGCAGGUAAGGUGAGGAUAGGCUGAUUGGGGCUGGCAUUUUCCAUCUCCAAUUUUCAAGGUUGAUUAUUUUCCAGCUAGGUCUUAUUUUUGCAGGAAGAAGGUUUAUCUACUGUCUGCCUGGAUUUUGUGCACAGAAACAUAUGAGUCUUAGACCAAGAAUGAGUCUUAAAACUCUUAUGGGUACAUUUCCUUAAUUUUAUAAUGAGACAGCCAGAGCACAUUGAGUGUUUUACCUCCAGAUAUGUGGCUUUCCAUGGAUGAAGUGUGACCUGACUACAGGUCACCAGAUUUUCGGUUCACAUUGACCUCAGGGGACAGCUGUAGGGUCUCAGGAUGACUGGUCACGGCCAACGAUAUCUUUUUUUUUUUUUUAAUUAUUGUUAUUAUUAUUGUUUCGUACUGGAAAUUGAACUCAGAACCCUGUGCUUGCCACGCAGGAGCUUGUGCCACUGAGCUAAAUAUCCCUGGCCAUUAAGGACAUCUCAUGACCUUGGUAUGAGGAGGUGAGAGUGUAGUGUGACAAAUGAAUGCAUGAAUUUGUGGAGCGUGAGUAGCAGGUCCUGCUUUUGUCUGACCCCUUUAUAUUGGUUUCUUGCACACAACUGACAGCCCAGGGCUACCGUUCACCUGGGGACCCCUUGGAUAAUUAGGGGUAAAUGGUUUGGAGUGGCUUUGCCACUGGGAUUCAAGCAUUUCUUAUUUCCUUGGUGUGCUUUUCCUCGGGCAUGUUUCCCCUUGUCUCUUCUUGCUGCUAGCAUGCUGAGAUCUACACGAAAGAAAUUGAAAUGAGGGCUUGGAGCAGGAUGAUAAAUGGGUUUCAACUUGCUUAUCACUCUCCUUGGCUUUUUUUUUAAUUACUUAGAAGGUGUUUUUGAAAAGAACCCAUAAGAUGUAUCCAGGCUUAAAACAAAAGGGGAAGUAAUUCCAUAAAUUAGUAAUGAGUUCAAACGUUGUCACUGUUUUAAGUGAAUUCUUCAGAAAAAUAUUGUAGGACUCAGAAUUGCUUGCAGGAGAUUCCUUUGUUAGGAAGUACAGGGAGAACAGCACUUUCAUGAGGAAAUGCAGUAUAAGGCCUUAGCCACAUUCCUGGGGAGUCCCUGGAGCUGGGUUACCCCACAGGAGGCAAAAGCACAAGACUUUAGCAUAACCAUAUUCCCCCCCCCCCACUCCGUCUCCCUUCAACACUGACCAGGGAGGGCUGCAGCCUUUAUCAAAGCAGCUCUCUUUGGCCAAAGCCAUUCCUGAAGGAAGUUGUAAUUAUGAGUGAUUGGUGGUCAGUGAUCCUAACAGGUGGAAAAUGAAUUUCUGAAUACAGAAAGGGAGCUCUAGUGGCAAACCACAGUAUCCACUACAGCUGCAGAUCUGGGAGGGGCCAUGCAUAGGCCAGAUAUUUGUCAUUUCUGGCCCUAGGAAGAAAGUCAGAACAAGUUAUACUGUAGGUUUAAGUGGGAACCUUAGGCAAGAGGAGCAAAGUAAGACCAUGCUACACAUGAAGUCCAAUCUAGCUCACUAGAAGACAAUGCUGAGGGUACAAGCAGAAAUCCUUGUCAUAUAGUAUCCCCAUGUCUGUCCUGCUGUGCUGUGCAUAGACCUUUCUGGAUGGUCACAGCUGCUUCAUUAGCAACCGCAGAGGAUUUAGGGAUGUGGAACCCUGAGAUCUGGUUACCUUUCUCAGUACCCAAACUGGAGACUUGACUAAUAUAUAUUCUAUGCUAGUUCAAUAUAACUUACCCCGUGGGGCUGGUGUCUUGCAGUGGUAGUUGGGUGUCUGCCAGGCAUGCUCAAGGCCCUGGGUUAGAGCCCCAGAACCACAAAAACAUGAAAGCAGAAGGUAAUGGUUAUUGCCUUUCCAGUUUGGUUGAAUGCAUACUUUAUGGGGAUGGAACCUUAUUGUGUGUACAUAUUUCAUUUCCCCUUUCUCUCUCAUCUCCUCAUAAGUACUUUCUCAUAAUAUUAAAAACUUCUCACAAGAAUGAUUUUAAAGAUGGUAUCAUAAUUUGUCAUACAUAUACACUGUAAAUUAUUUACCAUCUGUAUCAUCAAUGUUUACUAAAGAAAUAGAUAUAACACAAAAUAUACAAAUACAUAAGACUUUACAGAUUGGCUUAUGACGGCCACCCACAGAGUCAGAUGUGGAAGAGUGCAAAAUGUCCAUCUGUCCCAAAACCCCUGCAGAAGGUUGAGAUCUCCCACCCAGCAAUAUGGCCCAUAGAUGCAAAAUAAAGACAAACAGAAAAUUCUGCAGAUGAGGAGCUCUGGGAUGAUCCAAUGCUCUCGGUGGAACAAAAAAGCAUGAGUCCAAAAGCUCAUGGCUUUUAUUGGUCAAUCAAGGAGGUGAUUGGGGGUCCAGUCAGAAAGCUAGGGAAGAGAAACUUUGCAGGCAUUGGCUAUAAUGAGAAACAGAGCCAAUUAGCAGUGCAAUCUGUAGCUUGAUGUAUGCAAAGUUGGCACCUUUAAUGCCAGGAAGGUAUAACUGUUUUUGAGUCUCAUGGUCUCAGCUGAGAUGUUGCUUCAUGUCUUAGACCAGGAGUCUCACAGGUUCUUGCUCAAGCCCCAAUUCCAGCCAUCAGCAAUGGAAGAAAUUCUGGCCCAUAUGCUGCAGUGAGACACACUGGGGCCUUGGCUGGACUCGAUCACUUUCUUCCGGCCAGUGAAGGGAACAUCUGCUUCAUGACAGCCAGCUCUGCAUUCUUAGUAAAUAAGGCUGAGGGGGAGUUCAGGUAAGGAUCGAAGCGAGGGGCUUUGUUUCUCAGGAGAGUGCAGCUUGGGCAUCUCCCACACAUGUGCAUUUGGAGGGUUUGAAGGAUCUGCUUGAAGCCUGGAGCAUAGAGCAUAGUGUUGCAUGUGGGUCUGUAUCAGGAGGCCAAGUCCAAGGUGGAAGUGAAGACUGGAACUCCUCCAAAGAAGGCGGGAGCAAUCUUUCCUUUUUCAUUCCCCUUUGUGGCCUUCUGUGGUAAUCCUUCCCUGGAGUGAAAGUUCCACCCCCAGAACUAUGCUGAGCCAAUUUAUUUGGCAUUUACUUGAGUUGACACAAUCAAUCAAUGAUCACACCAUCCCUUUAAUGUUGGAUCUUUUGUGUUUUUUUUCUUUCUGCUUCUCUGUUGUAAACAAUGUUUAGAUAAAAAUCUAUGUACCGAAAUUUUCUAUCAUGAAUUUUAUGGGAUACAUUUAAGGAUCACAUUUCCAGACAUAUACUAGGGAUUUUUUCCUUUUCUUUUUUUCUGUGGUCUGGGAACGGAACCCAGCGCCAUCACAAUGAGCUACACCUCUGUCCCUUUUAAAGUUUUGAGAGAGGGUCUUGCUAAGUCAGUACAUUGCCUGGGCUUGUCUCCAAAUUCCUAUCUUCCUGCCCCAGUCUCAUAGAGUGCUGGGGUUACAUGUGUGCAUCACCAUGCUUGGCUUGUUUAAAAAAAAUGGUGAAAAAAGUAAAAGCAAAAACCUAUGUGUGGACUCUGUCUGGUGGCUUAGUGUAAGCACAGGUAGUGCCCAGCCAACUCAUCAUUUAUCAGUGAUUACUGAUGAACAGCUCCUCCACAGAGCCUGGGAGAGGUGCAGACAGGCUGAAGUGGGACAGGACAGUCCCUGAUCUCUGGGGCUGGUCACUGGGGGGUGUAGGAAGCAGUAAGGAAAGCCCCCCCAGGAAGGUGCUGUCUGGUCUGCAGGAUGAGGAAGGCUUUGUUAGACAGGAAAGGGGUCCAAUAAAUAGCUUUAGUAGAACUGGAGUAGAAGAAGUAUAUCUGAGAGGUAUUUAGGAACAAGGCUUUAAAACAAUUGAGUCCUGGUGCAAUGAAGGCAAAUUUUAUUUUAUUUUAUUUUGUCUUUUUAUCGGUCCUGGGGAUCGAACUCACAACUGCCUGCUUGCAAGGCAGGUGCUUAUGCCGCUGAGCUAAAUCCCCAGCCCCUGGCAAAUUUUAUUUGUGAACAACUUACCUCUGAUUUACAAUCCAUGCAAUGCUAUCCAUCAACUGUCUGGUUUUUGCUGAGUCUCUUAACCUAUGGGGACUUCCAUUGCUAACCUGUAAAGAGACCGAGCUCUACCAGGCCCAUAUCAAAGGAGCUGUUGCUAAUCAAGCAAAAUAUCUUUCCUGCUGAGCCAGGCUCUAGACAGCAACCACCAAAGAAGGGAUUCAGCAGGGUAGAAAUCCAUACAUUUUAGAAUUUUUUUCUAGUUUUAUAAGGAACACUGUUGGUAUUUCCAUUGGGAUUGCAUUAAAUGUGUAUAUCAGUUUUGGAAAUGUAGCGAUUUUAGCAAUGUUUGUUAACAAUCCUGUGCUGCGGUUGCCCUGAAUGCACUGAAGUUAACAGAGGAACCUGUGCACAGAGGGGUGAGGACUGACAAAAAGUGGAGGUAAAUGGGCUUGAUACUGUGGGGUGCCUAUGUCUGUAGUGAACUUUGAGAAGCUCAAGACCAAAAGAUAUCAGCACUGCUUAGCCAAUCAAGCUGCCAAGGACAUGGCCCCCACCAGCACCCAGACGACCAGUGGAGUGAAAGUGGGCCGACACUUGUUUGCAUUCCCAGCUCUGAUCAAAUGUGGCAUUUUAGAGGGCAUACGGAGCCUCUGUGUAUCUGCAGAUACUGGCAGAAAUCUCCAUAUUUGCCAUCUCCAUCUUUGACAGUCUCCACGUGCAGCUUUAUUGGGGCAGCUGUGCUCAAGAAGCAGCAGGCUGUAGACUCAGCAAGCUGGACAUCCGUGGGUUCAAAUGGCCCUCGUCCCGGUCAGCCUCUUCCUCUACUGAAGUCCCCAGGCCUUGUCUCCAGAACUCAGGUGUGUCUCAUAAUUGCAAUGGAACAUUUGUAUUUCAAGCAGAAAUAAAGAGGUAGAUUCAGAGAAGAAAGAGAAGAAGAAGAAGAAGAAGGGAAUUUCUCAACCUAACGAAGCCCAUCGAUGAAAAACCCACAGCUAACAUCAUAUUUAAUGGCAAAGACUAACUGCUUUUGCCCACGAUUAGGAAUAAGAUGGGGAUGUUUCCUUUCACAGCUUCUCUGUAACAGUCCUGCUGGAGGUGCCGGUCAGGGGAUGUGGGCAAGAAAAAGAACAUGCAGAUUAGAAAGGAAAAAAAUCUGCCUCUAUCAUUAGGAAAGUGAAAGGGUGAUUGACUCCUGGGACACACACUCAGUUGAGUCCCCAGCCGAUUCACGAACCAGAUUACGUCCUGGCUUAAUUCUCCGAUUUUCAUCUCCCAGGACAUGCUUGACUUGUCGCCAACCGCUCACACACAACACCAGCCUGAUUAAUCUCAGCUCACAAGAUUGAAAUCAGCUGUGCAAGCAGCUUGAGAAGAAGCUGAUCGAAGACAUAAGGCGAACACUGCUGAUAAUGACCCUGGGCCUGCAGCUGUGCCAGAACAAGAUCCUAACUGGAGCUAUCAAAAUGCAGUGGCACUCGGGGCUCCCAGGACAAGAAAUCUGAAACAAGGUGUGGCUGCCCGAGUCACGACGUGACCGUGCUUUAAAUGCAGCAAACAAGGACACUGGGCAAAAGAUUGCCCCAACCCUGGCAUCCCUCUAGGAUCAUGUCCAUACUGCAACCUUAAGGGCUGUUGGAAGAGUGACUGUCCUAGCCACCAGAGAGCAGGGCUACAACCAAGGUGGAGUGGCUCCUAUCUGGUCUACUUGGCUACCCCUACAGCGGUCAAAGUUGCUGGACUUCCAUCCUGGUUUCACAACACUCAGGCUAAGAGGUGCCCUCCCAGCCCUAAAUCUGAUCAUUCUGAGUGGUCAUCUCAUCUUCUGUCAGCCACCCAUCUCUGUUUCAUGAAGGCCUCACAGCCACAGUUAACAGGCUAAGUCAUGUUUUGUUAUCCACUUUGGUUCCUAAUUUCUUACGCUCUAUUAAUGAUCAUUUUUACAGCAGGACUCUUCCUAAAGACUCCCACAUCAUGUGUAAGAUAAUCUUUAUAAUGUUCUAUGCGAUGACUGUCACAGUUCUUUCUACCCUCAGCUGUCUGGUUAAACAUGACAUCCCUGAAAGCCUAAGCCCUUACCUUCCCUAUACUGGUACAGCCACCACCUUCCCUGCUCCUCCUAUUUUUUCCAGUUCAACUCCUGGACCGGAGACAAGUUUUAUACACCUAUCCUCUUAACUUGUAUGCUUUCAGAUGGGGGAGUAAUCACCUCUCAUAACUUCACUCCUCCUAGCCUCACACUUAUUUUUCAGAAUUCGACCUCACCGUGACAGUGGUCCUACCUCAACAUCGUCCUGAUAUAAUGACAUGUUUAAAUCAAAAGCACCUUUCCCUUUACCUCACCUGUGUCCUUAAAUAUGACAGUGCAAUGUCUCCUCACAACAUCUUUUCUCUUUGUUUUUCCAGUCUAACAUACGUGCAUCCACCAGUGAAGUUGUCCUGGCUAAAACACCUGGCACCAGCAUCUACCUGGGCAUCAACAGUCAUCCUCUUGACUCCCCUAGAUUCCAGUACAGUGCCCCCUUCAGGCAGGAAGUAGUUAAAGAGAGAAAUCUUCGCUCCUUUUCAUAACAAUAAUCGUAAGACGGGAUAUGAAAGAGUUUUGGCCCACUGGACACUGUAGCCAGUGAAGCCUUAGAGGCGGAACCAAGGAGCUCCUAUCUCCCCCACCCCUAGGAAUUUACCUGUGACUCCAUCUUCUCCACCCCCUAGGAAUUUACCUAUGGAGCCAAACAAAGACCAAUGGGCUACCCAUGCAUCCCUGAUGCCCCUUUAGGUUCCACCCCAAACCAAGGCUACUUACUUAUCCCCAAUGCCACGUGUCUGCUAGAGAGAAAGCUGGACUCCAGCGGUCUGGGUUUUGGUUUUUCUCUCUCCGUGUUCUCAGAAUAAAGGCCUCUUUCAUUUUA